GGCUUCCCCAGUGGGCUACUCUCAGGAGGAGAAAGAAUGAUGAAACUCACAGAACUGUGGGUGCUUGGGGACAAUCCAGAUUUGGCUGAUCCCAGGCUUCAUGUCUCCCAGAAAGAGCCCCAGGAAAGUAAGUGCUGCAUGGUGGCCACAGAAAAUGGAAACAUGAUGGUGGCCUGUGGGAGCAGACAGCUGGUCAGAUGCAGAGCCACAAGACAACAGGUUAUUGCUGAAGGGAUGCUGCUAUGUGUUUUGGACAGAGGUGCUGAUGGCAGAGCUCCACAGAUCCUUGGCUGAGGUGGAACCUUCCGUCAGAUGGCAGUAAAGGGAGCAUCACUUCCAGCUUGGAGAUGGAGAGCCUGGGUGUGCUCUCCAAGCAGGGAGGGGCAGCUUCAGGUACCACCGUCUGCAGCCAGGCCUAUCUCCAGAUGGCUCUUCAGCUGUGAGCUCACCAGGAGGUGAACCAUUAUGAAGUUAGCAUCUGCCCAUCCAAUCACCUCUCUGGGAAUCUCUUAAUCCAGUUGAUGAUCAGGAUUCCUGUCACACACUGCAGAAGGCUGUCCCUUGACCAUAUACCCAAGGUACACCAAAGAGAAAGCCUGGUUGCAUCCCCAGGCACUUGCGGAAAUGUGUUAGAGAAGUAUUUUUGUAGCACAGAAUCUGAUCUGUUUUUUAAAGCCUUAUACACACAGUUGAAGGAAAGCAC
rnacentral:lncRNA from 1 species